UACGUAGGGGGCAAGCGUUGUCCGGAUUUAUUGGGCGUAAAGAGCUCGUAGGCGGUUUGUCGCGUCGGCCGUGAAAUCUCCACGCUUAACGUGGAGCGUGCGGUCGAUACGGGCAGACUUGAGUUCGGUAGGGGAGACUGGAAUUCCUGGUGUAGCGGUGAAAUGCGCAGAUAUCAGGAGGAACACCGGUGGCGAAGGCGGGUCUCUGGGCCGAUACUGACGCUGAGGAGCGAAAGCAUGGGGAGCGAACAGG
rnacentral:rRNA from 1 species